GAUGAGAUUUCUUUUAAGGGUCGUGGAAGAUUACCACGUUGAUAGGCUAUAGGUGUAAAGGCAGUAAUGUCAUAGCCAAGUAGUACUAAUAACCCAUAGGCUUAUGUAG
rnacentral:rRNA from 1 species